ACAUCAGCCUAGGCCGUGAAGGAGAGCCUGCCAAGCAGACUGAAUCAACAGUUGAAGAAAGGCUUUGAUGAGGGGGAGACACCAGGAGCCAAACAGACAGACAGAGAUGGAGGAAGCAGGAAAGCAGGACAUACAGAAUGAAAGCAAGGAAGCACUCUGUUGGCCUGUGUAUGACUCAUGAAGAACUGAGCAGUCACGCAUUGGAAGAAGCAUUGGAAUCAAUUCCCAGCCAGGAUGUCAAAGUGCAGAGUCCUUGUUUUUACGACCUCCACCCAGCUGUCAUUGCACUUGACCAACAUGGUGAAACCAUAACCUUGAUUAAAUAUUCACUGUGCUGAAGCCAGCUAAGGACUUCCCUGAUUACAUGUGUGUAGGCGGAAUCAAAUAACUCAGACAAAAUGGCCAGUUCCAUUGUAGUUUUGAGGUCCACGGUUCUUGUUAGCAUCUGAACUUUUCACCUUUUCUGUUUUCCAGCUUUUAAAAUAUUUUGACAACUUUGUAAUAACUAUCUUCAAACACAUGCACUCUUUAUUCAGCAGUUGCCUAAAAUUGCUAGGCUGGAUAAUGAACGGCCUUUCGUGAAGUCC
rnacentral:lncRNA from 1 species